GGGCACUUAGCUCAGUUGGUUAGAGCGUUGCGUUCACAUCGCAGAGGUCAGAGGUUCGACCCCUCUAGUGCCCACCA
rnacentral:tRNA from 1 species